CCCCAUUGUUGUCCUCCACUAGCUAUUUAUUUCUACUUUUCUUGAGGGCUAAAGGCAUCUCGCCUUCCCUGAUUCCAAGAGGCUCUCUUUUCAUUCGAGAAUCCGAGAGCCAUCAUCUCGUCUUCUCUCUCUCCCCAAUUGAUAUCUCUCCUUAGUCCUUAUGAUAGGACUCCACUAUCUCCUCAUGUCCUUUCCAUUAUUUAACGUAAGCACAUACAUCUACAUCCUCACGAGCUCUCCAAGACCCAACCAUGAGUGAGAGAAUCAAGAGAGAUAAACGGAGAUGUAGGGAAGCUUUCACAGAAUUUGAAAGAGGAGCUUGUCUUCUUACCCCUCUUUAUAAUCCCUCGUCAAAUCCAUUCUUUCUCCCUUUAUUUUCUAAUACCACUAUGCAUGACUUCAAACUGCUAUAUAUCUACGAUCCCAAUAUCCCAAAUCUUUAAGACCUCUCCUCUUCGUGCUCUUAUCCAAAAUCUUGGUUGCCUCUCCAAGGCCUAUCUCAUCAAGCCUGCAGCCAUCUACAAUGCCCUUGCCACCACAGGGACAUGAUUGAAGUCAAGUCGAGGCUGAGGUGAAAGUUGAGCGGAGGCCGAAGUGAAGGCAAAGAUUGAGGUGAGGAACCUGAGGUGGAACUCGCAAAGAUGGAACUCCCAAAGACUAAGCUCUUGAAGGCCGAGGUCUUAAGGCCAACUUAAAAAGACU
rnacentral:lncRNA from 1 species